CUGGAAAGCAGUGGUAUUAACGCAGAGAUGGGGCCAGGGCAGGCUGGCAGUCAUCAGCUGCCUUCAGGCUCGGACAGCAGAGAGGUGGAGGAGUUUCUGGAGCCAGUUCCCGACCUGUGCAUGCACAG